GACGAACGCUGGCGGCGUGCUUAACACAUGCAAGUCGAACGGAAAGGCCCUGCUUUUGUGGGGUGCUCGAGUGGCGAACGGGUGAGUAACACGUGAGUAACCUGCCCUUGACUUUGGGAUAACUUCAGAAAACUGGGGCUAAUACCGGAUAGGAGCUCCUGCUGCAUGGUGGGGGUUGGAAAGUUUCGGCGGUUGGGGAUGGACUCGCGGCUUAUCAGCUUGUUGGUGGGGUAGUGGCUUACCAAGGCUUUGACGGGUAGCCGGCCUGAGAGGGUGACCGGCCACAAUGGGACUGAGAUACGGCCCAGACUCCUACGGGAGGCAGCAGUGGGGAAUAUUGCACAAUGGGCGGAAGCCUGAUGCAGCAACGCCGCGUGCGGGAUGACGGCCUUCGGGUUGUAAACCGCUUUCGCCUGUGACGAAGCGUGAGUGACGGUAAUGGGUAAAGAAGCACCGGCUAACUACGUG
rnacentral:rRNA from 1 species